rnacentral:rRNA from 1 species
GACGAGGGAUCCUAGCGUUGUUCGGAAUCAUUGGGCGUAAAGCGGGUGUAGGUGGCUUUGUAAGUCAGGUGUGAAAGCCCAGGGCUCAACCCUGGAAGUGCAUUUGAUACUGCGAAGCUUGAGUGCUGGAGAGGUAAGUAGAAUUCCUGGUGUAGUGGUGAAAUACGUAGAUAUCAGGAGGAAUACCGGAGGCGAAGGCGGCUUACCAGCCAGACACUGACACUCAGACCCGAAAGUAUGGGGAUCAAACAGG